GUUGUAAUUUCUCCCUUUAGUACUUUCAUUGAACCUCCUCUACCAAUGGGUGAUGGUGCUCCUAACACACAUUUGCACACAAUGGACGAGGCCUUCAAGAAGCUGCAAGAAACUGUUGAUUCUCACAGUAAAACUUUUGAUUCCAUUAACUCUACACUUCAAGAAAUUAUCUCCAAACCCAGAAUCAGCACACCCAGCCCUCUACAAAAAGCCCAACAACCUCUAACCCCAGUUUUUCUUCCAUACCACCACUACAAAAUUUCUUCUAUCAACAUCUUUCUCCCUCAGCUCUGCAGUUGAAUCCACCACACCAGCCACAAGCCUUUUUGUAAAUCAGAACCCUUGUGGCCCUUUUCGGAGAGAUAAACCAGCACCCAUAGAUUUAGCCCGUGUUGAUGGCCGGUUUGCUGAAAGUUGGAUUUUCCAAGCCAACCAAUACUUUGAUGCUUAUAAUGUCCAUGAUGAACAUCGUUUGAACCUUGUCUCCUUCUAGAUUGAGGGCAUGGCUAGAGACUGGUAUCAAUGGAUGUAUAAGAACCAUCAACUAAUUGGCUGGGAACACUUCACCAAAGCUUUGAUAACUCGUUUUGGUUAUAAAUCCAUGGAAGCACUGGAGGGGAUUUUGGGGAAAUUGCAGAUGACUUCGACUGUUGCUAAGUAUCUUUCUCGAUUUGAGCAGCUUGCUAAUCGCACUACUGAUGCUUCUCCAGAGAUGUUGCGGCAUCUUUUUAUUUCUGGGCUACCUACUGAGAUUAAAAGUGAUGUUUUAUCAUUUAGGCCCAAAUAUAUUCACGAGGCUAUUAGUUUGGCCAUGUUGCAGGAGAAAAAAUUAUUGGCCUAAGUUAAAACACCAACCCGGCCCACUUCUAUCACUAAAAAUAUUUCUCUCUCUUAUCCAACUUCCCAAUCAUCACAACACAAAUCAAUCCCAUCCUUUUCACCCUCUUCUUCCUCCGCUCAGGUAGCUUCACUUCCUGGUAAUAGCAGUGUUCCAUUCAAGAAACUUUCUCCAGUGGAAUUACAACACAAAUGAGAUCUCAAUUUGUGCUUCAACUGUGAUGAAAAAUAUCAAAAGGGCCAUCGAUGUUCUAUAUCUCUACAACUUUUGCUGGUCGUCACUGAAGAGGAUCCAGUGGAGGUACCUCCCCCGCCGGAUAUUGAAUCACCUCCCUUGGAAUCCAAUUUCACCACCCCCACUGAGGAACCGUCCUUCCUUGCCAUCAGUUUUGAAGCCCUUACAGGCAGUUCUUAUCCUACUGCUCUCCGUUUUACAGGUCAUAUUAAAGGCCUGCUGGCUCAAAUUCUACUUAAUGGGGGUAGCACUGAUAUGGUGCAGAUAUGGUAUUGGGUAUGGCAUAGAUCGCAACUCUUGGUUGGACUAUUUUAGAUUAUUCCAAACUCCUAUUUGAGUUUGAGAGUAAUAGAAAACGUAUUACUUGGUUCGGAAAUCCUCCAAUCUCACUAGAGCAGGUUUAACCUUCAGCUCUUCAUCGCUUCGCUAUGACGGACUCCAUUGUUUAUAUGUACCGGCUCGAGCUACUCUCUCCGGAGACAUCUAUUGAACAAGACCAUCCUCCUGAUCUUCAAGUCAUAUUAUCAUCCUAUAAUGAGGUAUCCAUAUUUUUAGAAGGGCGAGAUUGAACGCAUGGUCUCCGAGAUGCUUCACUCAAGUGUGAUUCGACACAGCUCUAGCCCUUAUUUCUCACCUGUUCUUUUGGUGAGAAAAAAAUAUAGCACAUGGCGCUUUUGCAUCGACUAUAGGGCAUUGAACUCCAUCAAAGUUAAAGAUUAUUUUCCUAUUCCCACAGUUGAUGAAUUAUUUAGUGAACUCCAUAAUGCCCGUUUCUCCUCCAAGUUGGACUUAUUAGCUAGAUACCAUCAAAUCUGUGUCCAUCAGGAUGAUAUAGAAAAGACAGCCUUCCAAACUCAUGAUGGUCAUUUUGAGUUCUUUGUCAUUCCCUUCGGCCUUUCAAAUGCCCCAUCCAUCUUUCAAGCUACAAUGAACUCCAUAUUCAAGCCCUUCCUUCACCAAUUUGUCCUUGUCUUCUCCGAUGACAUAUUAGUUUACAGUCAGUCUGGCAGGAUCAUCUUUCUUACUUGCAGAAUGUUUUUGAGUUGUUCAAGAGGAAUUUUUUGGUGGUUAAACAGUCUAAAUGCCAAUUUUGAUAGACUUCUAUUACAUACUUAGGUCAUAUUAUUUCUUUCAGCGGCUUUCAAGUUGACCUCGAUAAAAUUCGGUCUAUUGCAUCAUGGCCGCUACCUUUCUCUCUUAAAGAAGUUCGUGGGUUUUGGGCUUGAUGGGUUAUUAUCGGCAAUUUGUAAAGGGAUAUGCCCAACUUGUUUCCCCACUCACAAACCUUCUAAAAAAGGAUUCCUUUGUUUGGUCUGAUAGCGCAUCCACAAUGUUUUUUGACCUCAAAUGAGACCUUAGUUCUGUUCCAGUUCUUGCAUUGCCAGAUUUCUCAAAAGUGUUCUCUGUGGAAACCGAUGCCUCUGGUACUGGAAUUGGAGCAGUGUUAUCUCAAAAAGGGCACCCCAUUGCUUUUUUAGUCAAAAAUUAUCUCCCAGGAUCCAAGCAGCUUCCACUUACACGAGGGAAAUGUUUUCUAUUACCCAAGCUGUCCAAAAAUGGCGUCAAUACCUUUUGGGUUGCAAAUUCAUCAUCAUCACUGAUCAACAGCCGCUGAAAUAUCUUACGAGUCAAGUGAUUCAAGCACCAGAACAACAACAAUGGCUAUGUAAGUUGAUUGGUUAUGACUUUGAGAUUGUUCUAUUGGCCAGGGAAAUUGAAUUCAGCUGUUGAUGCCUUAUCCAGGAAACCAGCCUUAAUGGAUCUCACUGUGGCUAUCACAGAAUGGCUUUGGUUGACAAACUCAAGCAUUUGAACAAAACUGAUACUUAUUUACUUCAACUCUAGCAUUAGUUGCACGAUGAUCCUGACUCCAUGCCUCACUUCACCUUCCAAGAAGGUCUGCUUCUUUUUCGUAAGCGUCUGAUUAUUCCCCCGGACCCGGGACUAAAACGUUUGCUCUUAGAAGAAUUUCAUUCUUCUAAAAUUAGAGGUCAUGCUGGUAUUAUGUGAUCUUUUCACUGCCUUUCAUCCAAUUUCUUUUGGCCGGGUAUGCGCAAGGAUGUCAAGCAGUUCGUCCUACAGUGCCAAGUCUGCCAGUAAAUGAAGGAUACACAUUCGAAACCUGCUGGACUUCUUCUUCCACUUUCUAUACCUGCUUUAAUUUUUGAGGAUAUUUCUAUGGAUUUCAUCACUGGACUCCCACCUUCUCAAGGUCGUACAGUCAUUCUGGUAAUUGUGGACAGGUUGUCAAAAUAUGGCCAUUUUAUCUCCUUGCCCCUAAAAUUCACUAGUCACAAGAUUGCGAAAGUGUUUGUCCAAGAAUAUAUUCAACUACAUGGCUUUCCUUCCUCAAUUGUUUCAGACGACGAUCCUAUUUUCUUGUCUGAUUUUUGGGCUAAGAUCAAUAGACUUCAAGGGACUAAAUUAGCCAAGAGUUUUGCUUAUCACCCACAAGUAGAUGGACAAACAGAGGCUCUUAACAAGUGUCUUGAGAUGUAUCUUCUAUGUUUUGCUGUGGAUAUCCCUGCUACUUGGUUUCUCCUACUCCCGUGGGCUGAAUUUUGGUACAAUACUUCAUACCAACAUAGCUCUAAGCUUACCCCUUUUGAAAUUAUUUAUGGUCGGCCUCCCCCAAUAGUAACUUGAUACAUCAGGAAUGACACUUCCAAUCCAGAUGUGAUAGAGUCUCUUUUUCACCGAGAUAAAACGUUGUCCCUCUUGAAGUCCAACUUGCAGGCUACCCAAGAAUGUAUGAAGUGGAAUACUGACAAAGGACGCAAAGAUGUAAUCUUUGAGAUUGGAGAUUGGGUAUAUGUUCGAUUAUGUCCCUAUAGGCAUCUCUUUAUUCGCCUUUAGCGCCAUACAAAACUUAGUCAAAGAUUCUUUGGUCUAUUUAAGGUGCUCCAUCUUGUGAGUGAGGUUGCCUACAAACUGGAUCUCCCAUCUUCCUCAAAAAUACACCCUGUCUUUCAUGUUUUGGUUCUGUGAAAAUGUUGAGGGAACCCAGAUCAACAGGUUACUCCCAUUGAUCUUAUCGACCAAAACUCAUCUCUGCGGCUCACACCUGAGGACAUUUUGGAGCAUCGUAUUAUCACAAAGGAAGGGAAUCAAAUAACCCAGUUCUUGGUCAAAUGGAAAGGGUUGCCUCCUUCUAAGGCCACUUGGGAAGACCUUCCUACACUGACUCAUCAGUUUCCAGACUUGAACCUUGAGGACAAGGUUCGUCUUUAUGGGGGUGGAAAUGUAACAAACCCGCAGGACCACUCGAGUACAUUGAGGAGCAGCAGUAGGGACAAACAGUCCCCAAAAUACCUAGUUAAGUAUGUGGUCCCAAAGGCCAACAGAGGACCACUACCUCUGUCAAAUACUACUGCACAUAUUGCACCAGCUUUCCAAGAAACAUCCAAAUGAAUACCCUGCUAUAUAAACAUCACAAGAGCUUUAGAGGAGGGAAUGGAAGAACUUGCAUCUUAUUUUCUUAGCUAAACUUUUAGCAAUUUGGAAUCUCUCUUUUCUAUUUUCCUUUUUUAUCUAUCUUUUGCCUUGUUUUCCCUAAGUUGAGAAUUGCUACAUUGUAAUUUCUCCCUAUCAGUGAAUACAAUUUUGAAUCAUUCUAGAAUGUACAAAGGAAAAUCUAUUAACUACUUGCUAAUGUUGGAGUUGUAUGUUGUAUACCCCCAACUGAUUAAUUAUCUCAAUUUGAAGAUGAAGAAACUAAUUUGUAAGCUUCA